AAAGCAGGGGAUCGCAAGACCUUACGCUUUUGGAGCGGCCGAUGUCUGAUUAGCUAGUUGGUGAGGUAAAGGCUUACCAAGGCUUCGAUCAGUAGCUGGUCUGAGAGGACGACCAGCCACACUGGGACUGAGACACGGCCCAGACUCCUACGGGAGGCAGCAGUGGGGAAUUUUGGACAAUGGGCGAAACCCUGAUCCAGCCAUGCCGCGUGAGUGAAGAAGGCCUUCGGGUUGUAAAGCUCUUUCAGCCGGAAAGAAACGGUUACGAUUAAUACCUGUAACUAAUGACGGUACCGAAAGAAGAAGCACCGGCUAACUACGUGCCAGCAGCCGCGGUAAUACGUAGGGUGCGAGCGUUAAUCGGAAUUACUGGGCGUAAAGGGUGCGCAGGUGGUUUUGUAAGUCAGAUGUGAAAUCCCCGGGCUUAACCUGGGAACUGCGUUUGAAACUACAAGGCUAG
rnacentral:rRNA from 1 species